rnacentral:lncRNA from 1 species
GAACACUUCUUUUUCCUUUAGUUCUUAAUUUUGAGUACUUCUCUUGUAAAAGUGUGGAAGAGGAAGAUGAAGAAAACAAAAAAACCAGGUAACUUUAAGGUCCUCAAGAAUAAUUCAAUUUUUUUUUAUGUGAGAUUGGUAAUCAUAUUAUUCUUGUUGAUUUUUAUGUCUAUAUGGCCAUCUUCUAUAUAUUUAUUAUAAAUCAGGUGAAUUUUAUUCCUUUCUUUUGGGAAUAAUCCAGCAUUUUGACAGUGAAGAAUACAAAAACUUGGAUCGGAAAUAAAUACGCAGGAUAUAUUAAAAAAAAACAGAGAAAGACAGAAAAUAGAAAAUUAGAAGACACAUGCACUAUCAUAUUUCUUGGUUUACCCUUUAUUUCUAUUGGACGUUUACAUCAAGUUUAAACAAAACUCAAAGUUUAAUUUAGUUUUCGUAAUGGAAAAUAGCCUAAGCUUUCAUUUUCUCGUGAUUUAUAUCCCAUAUUCUUUAACCCUGAAAAUAAACAUAAAGAAAAUAUGGCUUUCAUUAGCAACUUUCAAUGACACUCUCCUUGUAAAUCUAAAGUUUAAUUUACCAGAUACGCCAUGAUUUCUCCUUUUGAUCUGUUGUGUAACUUGUGUUAUUAAUUUUUUGCAGGGAAGAAUGACAUGAGACAUGCAUAGCAAAUAUUGUGGAAUACUCAUUUGAGCAAGAAAAUAUUAGAUACUUAUGUUCAACGAAGGUGGAAAAGCUGGAUAGCUUGGAAGCCUCGACCUCGAAACUUCACCAUUGAUUCCAAUGGUGAAAAGAAAGAUUUGUCAUUUUAUUGGAUAAAAUAACUAACUAAAACAUCAUUUAAAAUAUUAUGUAAAAUUUUAAAUAAACUUUGUAUGGAUAUUGAUGACAUGAAGAACUUUUGUUUUUUU